rnacentral:rRNA from 1 species
GAUGAACGCUGGCGGCGUGCCUAAUACAUGCAAGUCGAGCGAACAGACGAGGAGCUUGCUCCUCUGACGUUAGCGGCGGACGGGUGAGUAACACGUGGAUAACCUACCUAUAAGACUGGGAUAACUUCGGGAAACCGGAGCUAAUACCGGAUAAUAUAUUGAACCGCAUGGUUCAAUAGUGAAAGACGGUUUUGCUGUCACUUAUAGAUGGAUCCGCGCCGCAUUAGCUAGUUGGUAAGGUAACGGCUUACCAAGGCAACGAUGCGUAGCCGACCUGAGAGGGUGAUCGGCCACACUGGAACUGAGACACGGUCCAGACUCCUACGGGAAGCAGCAGUAGGGAAUCUUCCGCAAUGGGCGAAAGCCUGACGGAGCAACGCCGCGUGAGUGAUGAAGGUCUUCGGAUCGUAAAACUCUGUUAUUAGGGAAGAACAAAUGUGUAAUUAACUAUGCACGUCUUGACGGUACCUAAUCAGAAAGCCACGGCUAACUACGUG